AGGCGUAGUCGAUGGGAAACAGGUUAAUAUUCCUGUACUUGGUGUUACUGCGAAGGGGGGACGGAGAAGGCUAUGUUGGCCGGGCGACGGUUGUCCCGGUUUAAGCGUGUAGGCUGGUUUUCCAGGCAAAUCCGGAAAAUCAAGGCUGAGGCGUGAUGACGAGGCACUACGGUGCUGAAGCAACAAAUGCCCUGCUUCCAGGAAAAGCCUCUAAGCAUCAGGUAACAUCAAAUCGUACCCCAAACCGACACAGGUGGUCAGGUAGAGAAUACCAAGGCGCUUGAGAGAACUCGGGUGAAGGAACUAGGCAAAAUGGUGCCGUAACUUCGGGAGAAGGCACGCUGAUAUGUAGGUGAGGUCCCUCGCGGAUGGAGCUGAAA
rnacentral:rRNA from 1 species